rnacentral:rRNA from 1 species
UACAGAGGGGGCAAGCGUUGUUCGGAAUUACUGGGCGUAAAGGGCGCGUAGGCGGCCUUCUAAGUCGAACGUGAAAUCCCCGGGCUCAACCCGGGAACUGCGUCCGAUACUGGAAGGCUUGAAUCCGGGAGAGGGAUGUGGAAUUCCAGGUGUAGCGGUGAAAUGCGUAGAUAUCUGGAGGAACACCGGUGGCGAAGGCGACAUCCUGGACCGGUAUUGACGCUGAUACGCGAAAGCGUGGGGAGCAAACAGG